rnacentral:lncRNA from 1 species
UGCCUUUAUUCCACCACCUCUGGAGGCUCGCACGGGGAGAGGGGACAGAAUGGAUGGGGUUUAAUCCUUACGAGUGGCGUUGCCUUUCAUCAAAUACCCGUAUAUGCUUCGUGGAAGCAUAUCAUUUGCGGAGGAAAAUCUCUUUUCAUUAUGCCAACUUAUGCUCUUGAACUUGCCGUUACUGUUAGUGAUCAGUUGUUGUCUGUUUUUGUAAAUGGCAAGAAAUGAUUUUGCUUACUUGCAAAGGAGAUUUGAGUGUCUGUUUUUCUGUUGUGUUUCACCAGAAAUGGGGCUCAGUUCUGCAGUUGAAAAUUUUCACAAAACUGCAUCAAUGUUUGAUGCACUUUGCAUUUUGGUAGUAUAGGCACAGGAAGCCAUGAAUCAGUGAUUAGAUGAAACUAGAGUUGUAAAAUGCUUAACGUUCACCCUUCAACUUAAUGGGGCCUCAGUGGAACAUUAAACAGAGUGCAUAUGUCUCUACAAUUGAAAACUACUGCUAGAAAUUUAUGCAGUUACAGGAUACAUAGUGGUCACUAUAUUUGCAUUUUAGCUUAGAUAAAAAAAAAAAAAAAGCUGUUUGAACACGAGUCCUAGCUACAUUUCCUGUGUGUGUCUGAGACUGCAUUUUGAAUUGAAGCUCUGCAAACACUGUAAGCUACACAAUCCUUCUUGAGGGUGUGGUGGCUUUUCAUUUUUGGCUGAGCUUGGUUGCGCUGAGGUUGCUUGGGCUUGGCUUGUUUUGGACUGGGUGAGCAGCACAGCUGUCAUGAUGAGCACACAGUGCAUAAUGCAAGACGGAUGUUUCCUUCAAACAAAUGAGGCUUGACCAUUGCUGCAUGCUCACUGUAUUGGUUGCGGAUGUGGUGCUAUUUCUUUACUCACAGGACAGGAACGAUUGUUUUUAGGAUCAGUGCAUGGCAAGGACUUAUUUCUGCCCUUUUCUUGCACACAGGGGAUCUGCUUUGAAAGCUGUGCCACUGUAGCAGAUGCUCAAGGAUAAAAUGGUCACUGGGACACAGAUUGGUGUAAUUGUGCAGUUGUGUUGUAUUUUAAGCACCAUUCAAUGGGUGGUGGUGGAAGUCGUCACAGGUGUUUCAUUUUAAGUCUCGUUGGUUUUGAUUGCUCUGGCAGAACUGUAAGCUGACUGACCCUUGGAAGCUAAAUUUAGAUGCAGGGCCAGAAUACUUUUACAGACCAAAAGUUGGUAAAUAAAAAAAAAGACGUUACAUAAGGGUUAUAGCACUGUAACUCUGCAAAAAAAAAAAAAAAAGCAUCAUAAUUCUUGGACUGUACCUGUUAAGUGUUUAGAGCAGACAUGCAUGAUGUAAGAGUUUUGUGAAAUUGAUAUAUAUUGCUUAAUGAAUCCUGCAAAAGGUUUAGCAACAUUUUUUUAGAAGGGUUGCAUACUAUGUGUCAGUUCCAUCUGCUUCAGAUGCACUGGCAGCACAGCUGUACAAAUUGUGUGCGGUUGUGACAAGAGAGGUGUUGUGACAAGAGAAGUCCUCCGCAUCAAGCUGUUCCAAAGCAGCGUUAUAGAACAUCGCACCAAGCCUGCAACAACGAAGUAUAAAAGCUACCUCACUAGUAAAGCAGAAAACAAAGUCCAAAGCAUACUAUGGUCGUCGGAGCUGAAUUGAGUAGUCACAGCUGCAGGCAUUUGCUGUUUUUGUGGUCCCAUUUCUUUCCAGUUGAAGUUGUAAUGUUCUUAUUAAGGAAAAAUUCCAAGCAACACAAAAAUGAAUAAACCCUAAUGCAAAGGGGCCUUACGUUUUCUUUAGUCUCCCCUUUUUCGCUCAUCGGUGAGAAUUUGCUGAAAUUUUGUUGCUUCCAUUGUUACGCUUCUGUGCACUAUCAUUGAUGCUGCCUUUGGAGCAGUUUUGCAUUCCUUGUAUACUACUGCAACAUGGAGCUUGCUUUAGCAGAAGUGAGAAAUGCGUGUGUUGAUAGCCUGAGAGCAGACUCGAGUUUAUCGACGAAAACGCGCCUCUCAUUGUGUGGGGAGAAAGGUGUUGGGGCUAUCGCCUAGCUACAAAGGGAGGUUGACAGGAGUUGAAAUACAUCAACCCCAAAAAUGGGAGAACUGGUCUGCAGGAAAAGAGAGUGGCAAUGGACACUUGACUCUUGAAGGAGAAGGAGCGGCGACAGAUCAGAUAGCAACUUUACACAGUAUUGUCGACUACGCACCGAGAAGAGACAGGGAGGUGAGCUACAGCUGGCCACCACUGGGGUUCUUCCUUGUGACACAGGCACGAUUGCAAAACCAGUUCUUGUGGUUCUAAUUAAAACAGCUGUUAAACAACAAAUGCUUUGGUAGGAAUGCACAUUAUAAAAAAACCUCUGGACGUGUUCACUAGUUUCUUUCUUCUUUUCUUUGCUUACUCGAAGGGCAGUAAAUGUAUAGCUGGAAUCAUUCUUUCGAAAUGAAUAACAAAACUAGACUAGGAAUUUCGACUUGGAGUGCUGUAUUUAAUUUACUUUCAAGGCUGUUCAGGCAUUACAGAUAGGAAUGGAUGGCUUCAAUAAUUAAGUUUCAAAAGUACAUGUAGCAGCAGCCAACUGUUCAGUGUAUAAGUAAUCACAUAGUGUAGACUUGACCAUACACACGGUAAUUGCACUCUCUAGAAUAUUAGUUAGUUCAUCAGGGUAGAACAAUAAUUUCUCGUACCUGUGAUUCACUUUUACUUAAUUAAAAAUAAUCAUUCUACAUUUUUAUGUGUGUAAUAUAUUUUGUAAAACACACACAAGCAAGACAUGUGACUGUGCAAAGACGGGCCAGGAACAUUUCACGCUUCCGUCAUGAAAUGCUAGCAGUAUUGGAAGCAGUUUGGGUUAGUGUACAGAUCCCAGACACACAUGUGCUUGCAGGUGAUCCUUUUAAAGAAGUUGUAGCCAGGAAUUCCGGAAAAAAAAGGGUUUAAAGGGACACAGACUAUUUGGCAUACACCAACUAUUUGACAGGAGGUAAAAAGGAGGAAUAAAAUGCUAAAAGAAAUAACGAGGGGUACACUUGCUUUGAGGCCUGAAAUGCUUGAACAAAAAACUUGGAGGGCACUUGACCUUCACCUUCAAGAGUAGAACGUGAUAGUGUAAUCAGGCCCCGUCCACAUCACCUUCUCAAUUGCUAGCCUGGCUUUGGUUCUCAGUGCAUGCCUCAACCAUGCCGUAAGGAAACGAACAACUGUGCGCGUGACAUUGACCGUUUCAAACUAUCUAGAAUGCGUACGGCAAGUACAGUUGUUAAAGUGCCCACUGCGGCAUAAUUCUUGCUCUUGUGAAUCGGCGAAUGGUGCACUAAGCAUCCGUAAGGUAACACUCGAACCUAUGCAGCUGCUCACUUUGUUGAUGCUUUUACAGCUGAUCAUUAAAUAUGAGUGCUUUGUAGCAGGUGGGCCUUUUAAACACCUACUCGUUGCGCAAUUCACAUGUUUUGACGCCUGGUGUGAUUCUACCCUUCUGCCACGCAAUAUUACAUGCGUUAAGGAGACUCGUUCAGCUACAUGACAUUCAUAGUGUUUUAAUCCGAAGCAGUUUCAAGAAAUAGUGUGUCUCUGUGGUAGAACACCUUCUUGCCAUGCAGACGGCCUGGGCUUGAUUCUCGCUCGAACCGAAGAUUUCUUAUUAUUUAUUUUAUUUGCAUCUUUCUCGAUUUUUCGGUCAUGGACAAGAUGAUUUUUCGCUCGCAACCGAUGACACCAACAACGGAAUUUCAGUGAAAUGAGCUCUUUAACACUAUCGUGUUAAAACAUUCAACUGUCUGAGAGAAUCUGCUAAUAUAUAUUGUAAAAAGCGCCUAAGUGAAAAAUGGUCUAACUGUAAUAGCCAAGUAAACAUCUUCCGAAGGACAGGUACAGAAAAUAAGACAUUGGUAGUGGCUGCACAGAGAGAAAUUGCAGCUAAGAAGAAAGAGAUUUAAAGAUUCAUAAAAUACCCUCAAAAUGCACGGUUUUUCAUGUAUUCCGUGCUCAGCGACACAGGUGCAAGCUGAAAGGCUAAAAAAAAAGAAAAGCAAGUGUUCUGUUAGCAUUCCUAAUAAUGUAAGCAAUAUGUGUCUGCGAGGAUAAUUGGUCAUAUAGUUUUAUCAAAUAGUUUUAUCAAAAUAGUUUUAUCAGAGUUUUGCUGUUAAUGGCAUCAGUAAGGGUUUAGGUGGUUAAGUAGUGCAUGUGAUUCGCAUGGCUUUGCAUUUGUUAGCGUUUAGUUUCAGCAACCAAGUGUUGCAAUAACUGGAAACAUUAUGAAGGUCAGACUGAAGUUUAGAUUUGACAGUGGUGUUAGAAAUUUCUCUACACAACAGUCAUGCACAAGCAGCCUGCCUUGAAGAGGUUUUAUUAUAUUAUGAUUACUAUUAAAAUCCCCGGAAAAGCCCUCUUACGGGGGUAUUGCAUGGCGGGAGGGGCACAUAUGCACUGGUCACUGAUUACAUAUCGUAAGUAGAAAAAAAGACGCAAUAAUACAGAGUUAAACAUAAAUAAUGUACGAAAUAAGUAUCUACAGAAAUUUCCAAAAAAAAACGAGACAAUACUAUGGGAGCUCACCAGUCCCCAACAAAUAGUGUGAAUUCCUGAGGAACAGCCUGUGUGAGUGGGAAAGGAGGAGAAUGGUGGUCCGACAGCUGUAUACUGUGUCCGGGUUCUCAAGAAGCACAUGAUUCAUUUAACUUUCACAUUAUUGUUUAGGUUUAGUUUACUAAGUUUGAAAA